rnacentral:lncRNA from 1 species
CUGGCCUCUACCGUGAGUCUGGGAAGCCCAAGGUCUGAGCAUACAGGCACUGGACCUACAACAGCUCAAAAAGGUCUCGGGUUUUCUUUGGUUUUCCAAAGGAGCACAAACAACAUCUGGGGAAGAGGGGACAAAACACACACCUGUUUGCUACAAUUUUAAGCACUCAUUCUCCACUGCUAGGGAGACUAGUCCACAGAUAACUGCAUUGGCAGAGGGGAACUCCGCCACCCCUCUACCCAAACAUCAUGUAUCUACAACACCCAUCUUCUGACCCAAAAUCCAGCUAUGAGCUACAAAAUUAGGAGUGAGUUCUUUGGCUUAUAGUUCAUUUCAUGGCUUAUAGCAAAAAAGAUAAAUCCUGCUUAGAACAAUUUAGGGUGAGAAUGCAGCCUGAGGACUACUCAUAAAUGAGCUUUCAAUGUUAGUAUCAGCUAACUUUCACAGAGCACCUCUUUGUGCCAGGAACAUUAGCAACACUGCCGCAUUUCAUCCUUAUGACCACUGCUACUGCAGGUGUUCGCUACUGUCACCUUCCAAAUGAGGAUGAUGAGCUUCAGUGGAGGAGUGAAAUAAAUCACCCUGGGUCACAGAUACAGCCAGUGGCAGGGCAGGAAACUGAACCAAAGUCUACAUGACAACAAAAUCACUACCAGUCAUUCCUCAGUAUCUGAUAAAUGGAGGGAUGGCUGUAACCCAAAUUUUACAUAGAAAGUUUACUGAUUUCAACCAUUAAGGAGGGGGCUUUGAGUGGAUCGAAAUUCUACUUAACAGAGUAUAUGAAGAAAAGACUGCAUUUGGAACUAGGUUAACCACAUAUCAGGUGAACCAGAAGAUCAUGCCUUGAAGCACAGUUAAUGGUGGCUGGUGUACAAUUUGUGUUACUUGUACAUACAUGCACCUUGUAAGGCCUUUUGAAAGGAAUUCAUGCUCACAAACUCAAUCUUAUUUAUAAAUUUGUUUAGGAAACUUUUUCUUCAAAACUAGUUUAAAAGCUGUCUUCACCCCAACCUCUGUUCAAUUCAUACACAAAUGCUUAAUGGACGUGCCCACUCAGCAUCAUCCCAUAAACAAAACUGUUGACUAAAAUCUUAACUUGCCCUCCUGACAUGUUUUCCCCAAUUAUAUAAAUAAUUCCAGGUGUGGGGAUUUUGUUGUUUAGGAGUUUAUAUGACAGUAAUGGAUCCUGUUAUCUCUGUAACACUUAUUCUACACUCCCAAUGAAGCAUGAGUGGACUGCCCAGACCGCCCAGUUCCAGGACUAUUUCAGGCUAUCACAGUAUCUCAUUGCUCUUGGCACUGUCAACCCAGGCCUAAACCAGAAAGCACAAGGCUCAAGGAUGAUCCAGGCAGGGUGAAGAUCAGGGAUCAUGUCUGAUAGUCCUAGGAAAGGACAUUCCCUCUUCCUGGGAUACAAAUAUUAGGAAUCAGGUAGCUCUGGUCAGGUUGUCUGCUCUCUUACAGUCAAGAGAGGAACCAGCCUGAGAAUGAACUGGGAGUGAAGUUCAACCCAUACACAAAGCAGAGAGCUGAGGAACCUGAAAGGAGAGUCAGAGCACUCACUGAGCUCAACCUCAUGCUAGCCUUCUCAGUAACAUGUAGCGAUUCAUUCCCUUUUUGUUCAGGCCAAUUUGAGUUGUUUUAUUAUGCUUGAGAGUUAAAAAAAAAAAAAAAUCCUGACUGGUUAUACUGAUUUUCUAGAGCAUGCUGAGAACAUACUAGACAACCUCCCAGGGCUAAAUCAAAUAGAAUCCACUCAAGACAAUGAAGUUGCACCUUAAGAGCAUUUAGAGUAUAAGAUCAUGACAUAAGAAAAUCACACAUAGCAAAAUUUACUAUGGAAAGUUCUCUAAAGAUGCUAUAAAAUAAUUCUUACAUACAUUAAAGUUUGAAACUCAACUACAGGAAAAACCACCUAAACAUGUUCUAUUUGACAUAUCUGUACCCAUGCAUUCAUGUACAACUGAUUCAAUGUACCUACCUUGAAGCAUUCAGUGUUCUUCCUAAUCAGACUCCGCCCACGUCACCUGCCUCAUCACGUUUCCAGCCUUCAUUCUUGAGCACAUGCUGUUUCCACUAAAGCUCCUUUUACUUUUUUCCUCACCUGGCAUACUCCCACUUAUACUUCAAGGCCCAACUCAAAUGUCACCACCUGCCUUAAGUCUUCUGCGUCUUCCUGGGAAACUUAAUUAUUCUUUGCUCUAGACUCUCAUAGCACUUUGUUCAAAUCUCUAUUAAAGCAAUUACCUUGUGGUUUGACACUUAGCUGUUUACAUGUGGACCAUGAACAAUUCUAGAAUGGAAGCAUGUCUUAUUCACGGCUAUAUCUCUUGUUUAGCAUACAGGACUAAACAUUAAGAACAUUUAUUCAGCAAACACAAUAACUCUGCAUAUGCAGUCAUUAUGUUUGCUGAGUAAAUGUUCUUAAUUCAGGUGAGCUAAGAACAUAUCCUAAAUCCAAUCCAAUUCUUUCCAUCUCCAUCACCCAUGGUCUGAUUCUGUCAUAGCUGAGUAAGAGCAAGGGCCUCCUAAAUGAUCUGACUGCUUCUAUUAUUACCUUUGUCUUUCCUUUUUUUUAAAACUCAUUUUACUGAAGUAUAACUGAUUUACAAAGUUAUGUUAGCUUCCAGUAUACAGCAAAGUGAUUCAUAUUCUUUUCUAUUACAGAUAUGGAAUAUAUUUCCCUAUGCUAUACAGCAGGUCCUUGUUGUUUAUCAAUUUUAUAUAUAAUAUCAUACGGUAUUUGUCUUUCUCUUUCUGACUUACAUCACGUAGUAUGAUAAUCACGUGGUCCAUCCAUUUUGCUGUAAAUGGCACUGUUUCAUUCUUUUAGAUGGCAGAGUAAUAUUUAAUUGAUCUAUAUACUAGAUCAUCUUUAUCGAUUCAUCUAUCAAUGGACAUUUAGGUCGUUUUCAUGCCUUGGCUAUUGUAAAUAAUGCUAUCAACAUAGGGUUGCAUCUAUCUCCUCAAACUAUAAUUUUCUCCAGAUACAUGCAGAGGGGUGGGAUUGCUGGAUCAUACAGCAAUUCUAUUUUUGGUUUUUUGAGGCCCCUCCAUACUGUUCUCCAUACAGUUGCACCAAUUUACAUUCUCACCAACAGUAUAGGAGGGUCUACUUUUUCUCUAUACUGUCUCCAGCUUUUACUGUUUGUAAUGACAGCCAUUCUGACCAGUGUGAAGGAGUACCUCAUUGUAGUACUGAUUUGUAUUUCUCUAAUAAUUAGUUAUAGUUGAGCAUCUUUUCAUGUGAUUAUUGGGCUGUAUGUAUGUCUUCUCUGAAGAAAUUCUCUUUUCAACAGAGAGUUUCUGAAUUGACAGAACAAAGACUGGAAUUGCCACUGCACUAGGGGAUGCAAUGAGACAAGUCAACUAGGAGGAAGAGAGUCAGGAAAGACAGGAAAAGGACAGAUUCCUGAUUGUGUUGUUGAGCCCCUGGGUCCAGACAUACCUGAAAGAGUUAUACCUGGACUUUCCAGUUACCUGAGCCAGUUAAGUUACUUGUGUGUUCAAACUAGUAUAAACUGUAUUAUAGACAUAUGUCACCUAAGCAGUUUGAAAUAUAUUCCAUUGCUAUAUGCUAAGAAGCAUAACAUUAAAAUCUGACUCAAGGAGAGUAUUUCUGCAAAAAACCUAAAGAACACAGGUCUAGAGACCAUAUACAUUGAUACCAAUAGGCCAAGAAUCUCCAAGGUCUCUAAUUCAAACCUAUUUGCAGAAUCUACCUAAAUUAGGACUCUACCCGGUAACUCUGAGCCUUGAGUUCAAUACAAGUGAGCCCCAAAUUGGAAUGCACAAAUUCACUUUUUGUUUUGUUGUACAAAUCAGAACUAAAAGGAAACAUUUGUGAGAGGUCAUCACAGUUAUCUAUCUCUACACAGUUCUGCCCUUAAAUCACCCCCAAAACAAGAGUUCUCUGUAACACUCUCUUUAAAAAAAGGGAACUGCCUGACCUCCCAAAAAGAGUUUGAGUGUUCAGAUAGUUUCAUAUCAUUUUUCAAAUGCUCAAAGAUAGCAAUGCAAUGAAAUAUUUCCUAUGAAAUAUUGAACAGAAAGCCUUGAGGGGCAAGUCAAAAAGUACCCAACACCAUUAGAUAGCCUGCCCUAUUCUAUCCAAGGUUAUAACUGUGGCUAAAAUAGCAAGAAAUUUUACCAAUGGUUUAUUUAUUUAUUUAUUUACUGCUACAGGCACAUCCAUUGCCCUCUUCCCACUGUUCCACUCCCAGUACACACAAGGUUGGUUGAUUUGAUUUAAGAAGCCUGUGGUAUGGUGGACGGGCUCUGGGUUUUUUUGAUUUGGACCCUUAUUUUCCAGGUGACCUAGUCCAGUCAAUUACCUUCUCCGGGACCCAAUUUCCUCUUUGGAACAAUUGGGGGCAGUAACAACACAGAGGCUCCUCUGAGAAGCAAAUGAGCACCCUCGCUGUGUCAGAAACACAGCAGAUACACUAGACGCUUUUGUUCGCUUACUUUUUUGCUGAGUUAACUGUCCUUAGCAAAUCUAGUCUGUUAUUUUGGUAUUAAAGAGGGUAAUUACACUACUUCUUGCUCAAAAUGUUCCCUUUCUAGUAAAUUCCACCAACACUGACCCCCUUGCUUAGGCCAAAAAUGAAGCACUCUCUUGAAUCUUACUUUCCUCACACCCCAAUCCUCUAUCUACCAGCAAAACAAGCUGGUUAUAUCUCAAUAAACAUUUCAAAUCUGACAACCUCUCCCCUCCUCCUACUCUCCUGUUCAUUUCACCACCAUCUCUCUGAACACUGCAGCAACCUCCUAACUGGUCUCCUAGAGCCUCCACACAACAACCAGGAUAACAUUUUCUGAAGUGCAAAUCAGAUCAUACCACACUCCUGCUAAAAUCCUCCCAUACCUUCCAAUAGUGUUAAUAACAAGAGUAAUAUCUAUAACUCAUUGAACACUUAGUAUAGAAAAAGGACAAAGGUCUGAUCACUUUAGACAUAUUACAUUAUUUAAUCUAAAAAAUUAUGCAGUGUCUGUGGACAGAGGAACAAAUUAAGAAAACAUGGUGUGUGGGUGUGUGUGUGGGGGGGUGUGGGUGUGUGUAUAGGAGAGUACUCAGCCAUGAGAAAGAAGGAAACCCUGUCAUUUGCUACAACAUGAAUGAAACUGGAGGGCAUUCUACUAAGUGAAAUAAGUCAGACACAGAAAGACAAUACUGUAUGAUUGCACUUGUAUGUGGAAUCUAAAAA